ensembl:lncRNA
AAAAGGGAAAUUCCUUGUGCUCCACGCAAAGAAACAUGAGAGAUUUGUGUGGUCAGUACGGACAUGGAGAGUCAGGCCUGCCUGAGCUAUGGGCUCAUGGGAUGCAAGACGCCUGUCUGGAAGCUGCAGAACAGAUGAUGGAGGCCACCAGGAUGAAACAAGUAAGAGAGCUGACCAAAUGCUCUUGAACACCACUGUCCAGUCAGUUUCAAAAGUGAAGCAUUCUCCUUGGCAUAACACAUUGUCAAAACCACAUCUGCAGGCCUAGAGCCUGGAAACCAGAGCCUCUGUGAAUCUGUGGCCAGAAGCAGGACUUUGUGGACAUCUGUUAGUGGCUGUUUCCAGCACAGACAGGGCCUGGUACCAAGAGUAACUGCUGAAGUCUCCAGUGCUACAGCAACUGAAGAGCAAAAUUGGGUGCCUGGAGGAAAAGUAGUCUGGUUCAACUGAGCUCUGUCUGAAAAGCAGGUUACCGUGGCUUAAUGAAUUAUCCUGAGUUUGCAGAACAACGUGUUCCCUUACCUGAAAGGGCCCUGGUUUGCAUGCUGAUACAUUGCAUGACUGACGGACUGAUCAUCUUGUUGGUUUGACUUCCCAGAGCUGGAGGAAUCAAGACCAUCCGUGGCUGAUAAGCCAGGAACCGCCGACUUGGCUAAGCCACAGAAUCCCAAUGGAUUCCAAUGGAGUCAACAAAUGGAGCUGUCGCUGUAACCUGACACGUAAAGGGGGCGAGAUGCACGACAUGGAGCAGCACCCAGAUCGAUCUAUCUCAUCAUUCACAUGCAGGAAAUCAAUCAGAGAGUGGUGCAAUUCACAUGAAAAUAAGACAUAAUGCAGCAGAGGCCCUGGGUCCCAGGGUGAGACAUGAUACUAAGAUGCAAGGCCCAGCAGAAGACAACUCAAGCUUGGUGGUUCUCCAGUGAAAAAUAUGGAUACGAAGAUGAUCUCACAUCACUUGUGAUUUCUGGCAGAUUUGAUCAAUGCUUGGAGAGUUUGGGCUACUGAUUUAGCUUUUACCUUGGGAAAGUGAAAGAAGGUGCAGGUCUAAAUCACUGCACAAUUGCAUCUGCUGGAUUUCCUGCAAUGGCUCUGAGCUCCUUUGGAGUCCUGGUCUAGGCAGGCAAACAAGGGAAGCGGAGGCCUUUGUGAGCUCUCAUGACGAUGAGCAGAACAGCCAGGGCAUCCGCAUGCACAUGGCUGGUACUUCUCAGACCCUGCAGCCGAGUCCUGUUGCCCCUGCUGUGUUCUUGGAAGUCCCUUCUCUAAACCAGGAGGAGGGAAAGGUGCUCUCAGUGCUUCAGCUCCCAGGCUGCCUUUAGUGCAUGUAAUUAGUGAGGAACAAAGGUUGGUAUCUUCCAUAGUCACGGGCAUUAAUGAAGAAGUCAUCUGCUUAAUGGGGGACAUGCAUGUGAAACUGUUUCAUCUAUGUGGUCGACUGGGUGCUUUUUAUGUAUAUUAACCUGCAAAUGUGUAGUAGGUGGUAAAAUUUAUGAGCGCUAUAACCAUUUUUAUCAAGUGUGCCCUUUAAAAUCAGGGGGUUUUUAUGAGUGUUACAUGCAUAUGUUCGUUAUUGUUCAAUCUCUGCUCACCCUUUGCCUUAGUGGGAGGGAGGGGAAAGAGAAAUUAAGGCCUGAAGAGAAGAUUUAGUUCGUUGAAUAAAAGUUUCAGGUCUGCAGAUUGGCUGGUGUUUAAGGUUGUAUAAUCCAGCGGAGAGGAAUUUGGAGGAGGACGUGGCCAUUCAAUUCUAAAUGCCUGAAUAUAAUGUUAAAAUAAAACAUGUAUCAAAUAGGUCAUAGCUUGCUACAGCUGGAUGGGGAUCUAAUGUCCUUGCCAGAAUCUAACUCAGUGCAGGAAGAAGACACAGAUGUUGAGAUGCACUGGACUGAUGUUCAGAAGAAGGAAGUUGUAACUGGACCCUUCCAUCUACAUCUUGGUGCUCAUGCAGGGAUCACGUGGGAUGGGAUUCUCACAGAUGUAGGUGGGACACAAAACUUAGAGUAGUGCAGGGGGAGGAUAUCCAUGCUCAGUUGCAAGCCUUGGAUCAUUCCUCAUUACCAUCAGUGCUUGGUAUGUUCUUAUGCCUGUUUUCCUCUUUUGAUUCCAAGCUUCCUUUUCCUAUUAUAAAGUCUUUUUUUUCUCCCCUCCUUAAAAAAAAAAAAGAAAAAGAAAAGCUGCUGUUAGGAUUAUGUCCUAUUACUUAAAGUGCUUGUUCUGCUCCAUGUACACAUAAAUUUAAUUAUAUUGGCCAUAUGAAAGAUGCAUGAAGGUUCAGUUUUGGGAGGUAUGCCAAAGAUAGCUCCUGAACGUGUGGCUGUUUGAUGUAGGCUUGUGCGUAGUAAUUGAAUUACUGAUCAAGCACUCUAUCAAUGAAAUAAUCUUGGUAAAUUCCGUGUACUUAAGUAACUAUAGCCUCGAGGCUGUGGUAAGUGGAGUAACCUUGUUAUUGAUUUUGUUGUUGAUUAUUCAUAUCUUAUACUUUCUAAUAGGAGCACCCUUUUCUGUGUUCCUAUUAAACGCAGCGGUUCCUGCGUCCUUCAGAAGUGAGAUUUAUCUUCCAAUCACUUGCAAAGGACUUUUGUAACUGCUCAUACGAGGGACUUCUCAGAUGUCCUUCUCAUAGCCCCACUACUGCUCAGCCACAGGGAAUCCUGCUGCAGUGCUGCUCUGCUUUAAUGCUCUCUCCUGUGGCCCUUGUGGAAUAGAAAAAGUAGGGCAUUCUCUAAUUCUUCUCACUACUUUCCACACAGAAAGUCCUUGCUCUAAUUCUGUUGUGCUUUUGUAGGAAAGUCAGUUUACGUCUUCUCCAUCGCUUCUUCCAUCUGUCCUUAUCUGCCCUUAUAUCGUGAGGGAGACUGAAGGUUGCUCUCAGGACCCAUCAACUCCAUGAAGCUGAGUCAUGUAUCGUACGCAGUGUGUUGUUGCAAGUUGGAUCUGACGUGCUCCUUGAGCAGCUGUAGUCCCUGGUGGCGUGUUGCAGUAAUUUCUUUAUGUGUUCAGGAGGUGUUCCAGUGAAACUGAACCUCUGCAUCAUGCUCAAGAGGUAAAGCACAGGGACCUGGCUGUGCUAGGGGACAGUAUUGAGAGGCUGGCUCACAGGCCAGUGAGUGGGUGGGGAGCUGAGUGACCGCUAUUCAGGUUUCAUGAACUAAAGCUUGCUUGUGAGUGAGAGCUGUGUGAUCACUGAAUUAAAUCCCUUGGUGUCUGGAGUCUCCUGGCAAGAGCUCAGUAGGUCCUGGGCUGUGCAGCCUGGCUUGAGAGGGAGGAGGAAUGUUGGGGGGUUAUGAUGAGACUUGUAAGCAUCGCAGCCCUAUCCAUGGACAAUCUCACUUCACUUUGUGUAUUGUCGUUGUCCUUUCCAACAGCUGCAUCUUUCAAAACUGGAAGAUCAGUAUUUUUCUCUUCAUUUUGAGUUUUGAUAUUAUUUUUUUUCAUUUAAGGAGAAAUAAAAUCAAAAUAAGUGAUUAUCUGGCAUUAGUAUGCUUCCACUAACUGCUGCUGUCCACGUUUCUAAGAACUGUAAUGCAAAUCCCCUGCUAGCAAGAAGAAUUCGUUGUUCCCCACUGUUUGUUCUUUGAUCCGUAUUAGGGCUGAUGUGUGAAACAAAGGAAGGAGGAAUGUUUGAUUUCUCUUAAACUUGGGCGACCCUACAAAAGAGACAGUAGAAACAAGGUCUUUGCUAAUAAACUGAGCAGAAGUGAUGUAAAUACUUCUGAACAUCAGAUUCUAGAUAGUGAUCAAGCAAACUGAACACAGUGGCUGUUUGUUCUUUGAUGUUUGAGGUGGGAAAAGCCAACGUUUGACAUCACGUUGAAAAAAUACUGCCCUGUUUCUUGUCCCUGAUAGCAGGUGGUGCAGGAACUCGACCUUCAAACCGUUUUGUCACCUUCUGUUCUUCCCAUAAACCAGUUUUUUGUGGCGUUCUGCCUUGAUGUGAUUAAACUACAGCUUCAUUCACUUAUUUUGUUUCCCGUGAAACAGAGCAGCACAAGGAUGGCAGAAAACAGCUGUGUGAGGCUGUAGCGUAGAACUGAUCGUAUCACAGGAUGUCUCAUCUUCCUGAACACGGGUGAAGAUCUGAAUCUCAAGUGUCAUUCAGCACCCACCCUCACCCCGCUUCCAGAAACUUAUAGCAGGGAAACAUCCCUAUGUCACACAGUCCUGGAAGGGAGUGGUCAUGCAGCUUCCUCUGAGCCUCUGUUGGCCAUCAGGGAAGGAGAUGAUACAAGAUGUGUGCCCUCUUCAUUGCACCUGUCCUGUUGUUUAGGAGAGAGAUCGCUCCCUCUGCAGAUGCCUCUUAAAAAGGACCUCUUCUCAAAAGGCUUUGAAGAUCUCUAAGCUCCUAACAGGCUGCAUUCUUUUAGUAAAAUGAAAGCAGAAUUCCCUAUUGCCUCCCACCCAGAGGAGAUGAAGGGGAGAUGCCCAUGAAGAUGAACUCUGCCUCCUCUUUGGGAGCAUGGUGAAGGACUGCACAGAGCUGGCACUGCUGGGGCACCCCCUGCACUGGACACAGUUGUGAAUUGAGGAUGAAUAUCACUGAUAAAAUGGAGGUCAACAACUGAACGGCAUCUCGUGGAAAAGAUUCGGAGGCUGCAGGAUCUGCGUGAUGCUGCAUCCAUCUGGGACUGAAAUGGCUCCUGCAAAAAAAAGAAGGUGACCUCAAAACCAAACCUGUCUGAAGGUUUUCGUGGGGCUGGAAUCAGUGGAUGCUGAAGUAGCUCUUAGCUGUGCCAGGAGGCCUCUUAGCGACCAGCACUUAUACAGGCUCACACAUCUCCCACAUCGAAAUCGGCAUUCUUGGAUCCGCUGAGUUUUGAUCCACAGUGAGAUAAGGCCUAAGGGAACUCUCUCUGGAGUGUAUUUCAUUUUGUUCUCUGAAUCAAGAGACGGAGCCCAAAGCAAGACCUGUGGAUAUGAAGAAAUGGGCUCUGAAAGCGCCUGUCCCACACGUCCCUGCUGUUUGAGACACGGUGAAGCCUGUGCUGGUGGCAGUCACAAGAAGAGCUGUCUGUGCUCAGGUGGCUUCCAGGGCUGUCUGUGCUCAGGGAAAGCUGCCCGCCUGCACAGCGGUACCCACCUCUGAAUAGUUUGCUAUUCUGGGCCCUGUGCAAUUUGGAGACUGACAACUUACCUUAACUGUUGGAGCACCAACCACUUCACAGAGCUCUCCCAGGCACUGCAGUCCCUGCUUCCUGCAUGGAAAGCAUCACCGAUACCAAGCAAGUGGAGAGGGCGGCCUUUCAUAGGAUCAUAGCCUUCAGGACUCUGGGGUGCCACAACUCCUGUUUGAAACAUAUAAUUGCUGUGGCAUUCAGUGCAACUGACGACAGGGAAGCUCGAACCUGGCAACUGCUACCUUAAAAAGUAAUAGAAGAAGGAAGCAAAAACCCCUGGGGAAGCUGUGCAUACAUAGCAAAGGAGGAGCAAUGGGCUUGCAUUGGUAAACUGCUCCAUAGGGCACCCAUUCAGUGCUAUAAAGAAGGCAUCCAGGCUGUGUGUUUCCCAGCUCCUGCAGCGGUAGGAUGGACCAUGAGUGUGCAUAGGAAGGUGCGUGAAGGCAGGCUAUGCUUUCCUGGGCCAGUUCUCUCCCUCUGAGGCUGCUCCGUGCAGAGCCAGCAGUGUGUGCAGCACUGACCAACGUGGUAUUUGAGAGCUUGAGAUCUCACCGUCUACCUUCUCUUUCCAAUUGCCCUCCCACUGUUGUUCUACAGCAUGCGGUGCCUUCAGCCGUGGUUCAGCUGCCAAAGAAGGUGGGGGAGUGCUGUGCUCCCCAGCUCCAUGCGGACCGGGAGAGAGGCAGAGAAACAGAGGAGGUGGGUGCUUUUCUGCAGGUAAUGAAAGCGAUCAGCUGGCUGCCCAUGCAGCACAGCCCUCCUGCCCUCCCCAGUCCUGCUCCCUGCCUUGCCAGGAGCGCACUUGGGUAGAAAGGUCUGAAAAAUCAGGACAGCUUCUAUUCUAUGGGAACAAAAGGUUUCCUUUGUUGUAAUUCCUCUGUUGGGCUCUGCACGAGGCCCUCGCAUGGGGCCCUGCAGCACGUGCCCUGCAUCAUGGGGACAAAAGCAGAUUACUGCAGGGAUGCCUGAAAAGGAGCCAUGACUUGUUCCCUUGUUGCUACAAUCUUGUUUACAGGCUGAGCUUCGCAGGGAGCAAUUCACACAGGUUUCUUUUGCAUUAUAAUAGUAAAGAUUUUUCUUGGUGGGAGAAAAAAAAGAGGAGAGAGGGUGAGGUGAGGAUUUAUCACAGAGCCUUGCCUGAAAUGAUUUAGGCUGUUAAGACCAUUUAUGCUGAAGGAAGUGAUCAGUUUCUGCUUCCCAAACGUCGUCUCCCAGUGCCGUGGGCCUGAUUCAGCAGGGCAGCUCCAUGUGAAGAGAAACGAAGUUGAUGAAGUAUUAGGAGGAGAUGACGGCAGCUAAAGGGGAGUUCAGUGGUUGUCCUUCACUUUUGUCUUCUGUCUUUUCAAGCUUAAGGCAGCAACUUCCAAAAUUCUUCGUGAGCCAAUCAGAGCACUGAUGGAGGGAACACCUUCAGCCACUGCACCUUAACAGCCACCUCGAGUGGCCCUGUGCUGGGUUUUUAAUCAUAUGAUGGCUUUUAAUUGAUGCUUUCUGUAAUAAACGAGGGGCUGCUGUGUUUUCACUGGGUUAUUCACUUGCUUCUGUAGUAGCUUUCAGUUGCAUGAUGCACAAACGGAGUGCAGCCUUCAGAAGUGACCCGUGGGACUUGAGGGCUGAUCCACUGCUACUGAAACGGUAGGACCAAAUUCUGCUGCCUGCUGGAUGCUGGGCCUCAAAGCAGGGAUGCAGAGAGGUGUAGAAAGCAGCAGUGCUCCCUGCUGAGCUCCGUGCAUGGGGCUGCUGCUCAUGGCUGGUGGGACAAAGCACUGCAGUGCAGACUGUGCUGCUGAACGCCAACAUAGGCUGAGCACUGGGGGGGCUGCAGCUCCUUUGAGGGCAGGUAGAGGACUUCCAUUUUAUUUUACUUUCCUUUCCCCUUUCCCCUCCUUUCCUUUUUCCUUUCCGUUUUCCUUUCCCCUCCUUUCCUUUUUCCUUAC